GCCCUUGUAGCUCAGCUGGUAGAGCAGCGCACUUGUAAUGCGAAGGUCGGGGGUUCGACUCCUCUCGAGGGCACCA
rnacentral:tRNA from 1 species